GACGAACGCUGGCGGCGUGCCUAAUACAUGCAAGUAGAACGCAGUUGCGAGCGGGUGAGUAACGCGUAGGUAACUGCCUGGUAGCGGGGGAUGACUAUUGGAAACGAUAGCUAAUACCGCAGACUACCAGAUGGACCUGCGUUGUAUUAGCUAGUUGGUGGGGUAACGGCUCACCAAGGCAACGAUACAUAGCCGAGCUGAGAGGGGUAUCGGGCAACCUGGGAACGAUACACGGCCCAGCAUCCUACGGGAGGCAGCAGGAGGGAAACUUCGGAAAUGGAGCGAAGGCUUACUGAGCAACGCCGCGGGGUUGAAGAAGGUUUUCGGAUUGUAAAGCUCCUUUGUAAGAGAAGCGGUAUCUUACCAGAAAGGGACGGCUAACUACGUGCCAGCAGCCGCGGUAAUAC
rnacentral:rRNA from 1 species